rnacentral:rRNA from 1 species
AUUGAACGCUGGCGGCAUGCUUUACACAUGCAAGUCGAACGGCAGCACGGGUGCUUGCACCUGGUGGCGAGUGGCGGACGGGUGAGUAAUACAUCGGAACGUGUCCUGAAGUGGGGGAUAACGCAUCGAAAGAUGUGCUAAUACCGCAUAUACUCUGAGGAGGAAAGUAGGGGAUCGAAAGACCUUAUGCUUUUGGAGCGGCCGAUGUCUGAUUAGCUAGUUGGUAAGGUAAUGGCUUACCAAGGCGACGAUCAGUAGUUGGUCUGAGAGGACGGCCAGCCACACUGGGACUGAGACACGGCCCAGACUCCUACGGGAGGCAGCAGUGGGGAAUCUUGCGCAAUGGGGGCAACCCUGACGCAGCCAUGCCGCGUGAAUGAUGAAGGCCUUAGGGUUGUAAAGUUUUUUGUCCCGUGACGAUGAUGACGGUAACGGGAGAAUAAGCUCCGG